AUGAACGCUGGCGGCGUGCCUAAUACAUGCAAGUCGAGCGAACAGACGAGGAGCUUGCUCCUUCGACGUUAGCGGCGGACGGGUGAGUAACACGUAGGUAACCUACCUAUAAGACUGGGAUAACUUCGGGAAACCGGAGCUAAUACCGGAUAAUAUUUCGAACCGCAUGGUUCGAUAGUGAAAGAUGGCUUUGCUAUCACUUAUAGAUGGACCUGCGCCGUAUUAGCUAGUUGGUAAGGUAACGGCUUACCAAGGCAACGAUACGUAGCCGACCUGAGAGGGUGAUCGGCCACACUGGAACUGAGACACGGUCCAGACUCCUACGGGAGGCAGCAGUAGGGAAUCUUCCGCAAUGGGCGAAAGCCUGACGGAGCAACGCCGCGUGAGUGAUGAAGGUCUUCGGAUCGUAAAACUCUGUUAUUAGGGAAGAACAAAAGUGUAAGUAACUGUGCACGUCUUGACGGUACCUAAUCAGAAAGCCACGGCUAACUACGUG
rnacentral:rRNA from 1 species